rnacentral:rRNA from 1 species
GGAGUCCGGUGAUCCCGCGGAAUUGGAGUCACGCCGGACUUCCGGUUGAUCCCGCCGGAAUUGGAGUCAACGCCGGGGUUCCGGUUGAUCCUGCCGGAAUUGGAUUCAACGCCGGGGUUCCGGUUGAUCCUGCCGGACCUGACUGCUAUCGGAUUGGUACUAAGCCAUGCGAGUCGUUGUAGCAAUACAAGGCGGACUGCUCAGUAACACGUAGUCAACUUAACCUAUGGAUGGGCAUAACCUCGGGAAACUGAGAAUAAUACCCAAUGGACCACAGUGCCUGGAAUGGCCUGUGGUUGAAAUGAUUUAUCGCCGUAGGAUAGGACUGCGGCCUAUCAGCUUGUUGGUGAGGUAAAGGCCCACCAAGGCUAUAACAGGUACGGGCUCUGAAAGGAGGGGCCCGGAGAUGGGUACUGAGACACGGACCCAGGCCCUAUGGGGCGCAGCAGGCGAGAAACCUUUGCAAUGUGCGAAAGCACGACAAGGUUAAUCCGAGUGUCUCCUGCUAAAGGAGUCUUUUGUCAGUUGUAGAAUCACUGGUGAAUACGGGGUGGGCAAGUUCUGGUGUCAGCCGCCGCGGGUAAACCAGCACCUCGAGU